rnacentral:lncRNA from 13 species
AUGAGACGACACACAACAUAUGAUGAAGACCUGCGAGAUGCUACCAGGAGGAAAAGCGAGAAGGACCCUGAGGAUAAACAACACGAAUCCACCAUUUACUCAUUCAGGACACGGGAGCAGGACACAGCAGCCACAGGCUUCCAGCGCUUCCUCAAUGUCCUCAACAAAGGGGUGGACAUCAACAAGCUCUCAAAUAUUGUCAACAACGUGAAUGAGUUACCCCCUAUGCAGGAGGGCCAUCCCAUGACUACCUACAGGAGUGAGUAUAAGGGGGCCCCAGCUCAGAGCUCUCAGGAUUGCUUGGGACCCCACAGUAGAGCUCUGCCACAGGACCACAGUCACUCACACAUUCUUGGAGAAAGGAGGCUGGAUCUCCCACACGGCCAGCUCCAGAGCCUGCUGGAGUCCAUCGGGCUAGACCUGGGGGUGGAGGAGUUGGGCCGACUGUCAGACCGGACCAAGGAGAGGCUGUACGGGAUGAAGAGAGACCAGGAGAGGAGUCCCCUGACGUCAGACAGGCACUCUAGAACUAGAGACUGGGACAGAGAACGAGACGAGGACACAGAGAGGAACGGAUCUAAGAGAAACGGAGAAAGAGACAGAGAGAGAGACUGGGUCAGUUCUGAGCGAGACCGAGAGAGAGACGGGGACAAAUCUGAGCGAGAUAGGGACAGGCGCUCUAAUACCAGGGACAGGCACUCUGGUUCCAGGGACAGGCGCUCUAGUACCAGGGACAGGGACAGGCGCUCUAGUACCAGGGACAGAGACAGGAACAGGCGCUGUAGUACCAGGGACUGUGACAGAGAUGGCGACUGGGCCGAAGGAAGCGACAAUGAUUGGUAUAGGGACAAGUCCAAGGAAAGCUCUGCUGAGCUCAACACNNNNNNNNNNAGGGACAGGCGCUCUAAUACCAGGGACAGGCACUCUGGUUCCAGGGACAGGCGCUCUAGUACCAGGGACAGGGACAGGCGCUCUAGUACCAGGGACAGAGAAAGGGACAGGCGCUCUAGUAACAGGGACCGAGACCGGGACAGGCGCUCUAGUAACAGGGACAGAGACAGGAACAGGCGCUGUAGUACCAGGGACUGUGACAGAGAUGGCGACUGGGCCGAAGGAAGCGACAAUGAUUGGUAUAGGGACAAGUCCAAGGAAAGCUCUGCUGAGCUCAACACNNNNNNNNNNAGCCCACUAGCAACCCCCAGGUCACAUCUACCAAGCCCGCUAGCACCCGCCAGCUUACAUACAUCCAGACUGCUAGCAACCCCCAGGUCACACCUACCCAGCCCGAUAAUGAACUCAAGUUCACAAGCAUGGCUGUACUGACGCCAGCACUGAAAGUGUUGACCCCAGGCCCCAUCUCCUUGAACAAGGCCCAACAACUGAAGGAGCUGUCACCCCCCCGCUGUCUGCAUUACGUUAAGACGGUGGUGCCCAAGGGAAGCAAACGCCGCAUGAGACGGUCAAGAGUCACGAGAAAUAGGCAGGCGCUUGAAGAAAGGUGUAAUAAAUACAGGAAAGAGGUUCUGAGAAAGAGGAGAAUAUAUCGAGAUCUCCAAGGGAAGAGAGAUGGACUGAUUGCAAGAGCUGCAGCGAAAGUGGCCGCUCGGUUAGCUGCAAAGUACCCCAGGGCCCUCUCUGAAGCGGAGGCAGAGAGCGAUGUUGAAGGGGAGAAAAAAACAAUGCCAGAAGAAGUGAUUAAGGGGAAACUAAAGAAGAAGGUUUGUAAUUACUUCUGGAAGUACAUUAUUAUCAUUGGUACGAUAGACCGUGGCUUACUUCUAUGCUGUUCUCACUUUGUCGUUAUUGCUUGUGUCUUUUUGCUAGCGAUAUUAUUCACCAUUCAGUCAUAUUUUUAUUGACAUGC